UACGAAGGGGGCUAGCGUUGCUCGGAAUUACUGGGCGUAAAGGGCGCGUAGGCGGAUACUUAAGUCGGGGGUGAAAGCCCAGGGCUCAACCCUGGAAUAGCCUUCGAUACUGGGUAUCUUGAGUACGGGAGAGGUGAGUGGAACUCCGAGUGUAGAGGUGAAAUUCGUAGAUAUUCGGAAGAACACCAGUGGCGAAGGCGGCUCACUGGCCCGGUACUGACGCUGAGGUGCGAAAGCUAGGGGAGCAAACGGG
rnacentral:rRNA from 1 species